UCUUACGGGUUACGUGUUUAACCUCCUCAAGAUUCAUAUUCUUGAGGUUUUUCUUCAUCAGCGAUAAAACAACCCGUUUGCUAGUGUUUUUUCAUUGGUCUCGAGAUACACAAGCUUAGGUUUGGAUUUUCUCAAAAAGGAGUUAGGAUCUUGAUGUUGAACAAGAUCAGAUCUAAGCACAACCGUCAUUGUUGCAUUGCUAGUUCCAGUGAGUGUGACGUCACAACAAUUAAGAAUGACUAAUGGAGUCUUAUGCUGGUAUAAACCUGCUUGGCUACGUGACAAACAGUUGAUGGUGAAGCUUAGUGACAAGCAAAAUACUAAGCGUGUGGAUAUUUGAUGUACUCGAAAUUAUAUAUAUUUUCUACAAAUAUUUCCUACACCUUUAGGUAGCUUUGGGGUAUUAAUUGUAAGA